rnacentral:lncRNA from 1 species
GAUUCGCACUCGUAUUGUGAAGGAGUCGAUUCAAUGAUGAAGAUUCAGUAUUGAAUCUCUGAGAAUUGCAGAGAAUUUGAUGAAUUUGUUGAUGAUUCAGUGAUUCUGGUGAUUUAGGGUUUUCGAUUGUUCUUGGUGUUCUUGGUGAUUUUCUGAGUUUUGAUCUAACUGACAAGAGAGAGAAACUUCUCAGGUGUUUUUGAUGAUGGCGUGUGACUGAAUUUUUUUGACUUGUGCAUUGAAUGCGCCUUUUAUAGGCUGCCACUUGUAACUGAGACCCAAUGGGACACUGCCACCUGGAAUUGGACUUAAUUUGGGUCUGCCUUGGACUUUUGACUUUAAGGACCUUUCUGCAAAAUGUAAAAAAAUGAGGACUGGACUGUAAACAAGAAAAAUGGACUAGAAAUGUAAUUUUGAAAAGUUUUGGACUAAAGUGCAAUUUUGAGAAUUGUUUGAGGGACUAAAAUGUAAUUAAAAUAAAAUUGGACUAAAAUUGGUAAUUUGAAAAAAAGUAAAGUGAAACC